rnacentral:rRNA from 1 species
AGCCUGAACGCUGGCGGCGUGGCUAAGACAUGCAAGUCGCACGGGGUAGCAAUACCCAGUGGCGAACGGGAGAGUAAUGAAUCGCUAACGUACCCCGGACUCUGGGAUAGCCAACCGAAAGGUUGGGUAAUACCAGAUGACACCACCUUGUCGCAUGGCAGGGUGUUCAAAGGUCCGCC